UACGGGGGGGGCAAGCGUUGUUCGGAAUUACUGGGCGUAAAGGGCUCGCAGGCGGCCGACUAAGUCAGACGUGAAAUCCCUUGGCUUAACCAAGGAAUGGCGUCUGAUACUGGACGGCUUGAAUUCGGGAGAGGGAUGUGGAAUUCCAGGUGUAGCGGUGAAAUGCGUAGAUAUCUGGAGGAACGCCGGUGGCGAAGGCGGCAUCCUGGACCGGCAUUGACGCUGAGGCGCGAAAGCCAGGGGAGCAAACGGG
rnacentral:rRNA from 1 species